GAGAAAGCUUGCUUUCUUGCUGACGAGCGGCGGACGGGUGAGUAAUGUAUGGGGAUCUGCCCGAUAGAGGGGGAUAACUACUGGAAACGGUGGCUAAUACCGCAUAAUGUCUACGGACCAAAGCAGGGGCUCUUCGGACCUUGCACUAUCGGAUGAACCCAUAUGGGAUUAGCUAGUAGGUGGGGUAAAGGCUCACCUAGGCGACGAUCUCUAGCUGGUCUGAGAGGAUGAUCAGCCACACUGGGACUGAGACACGGCCCAGACUCCUACGGGAGGCAGCAGUGGGGAAUAUUGCACAAUGGGCGCAAGCCUGAUGCAGCCAUGCCGCGUGUAUGAAGAAGGCCUUGGGGUUGUAAAGUACUUUCAGCGGGGAGGAAGGUGAUAAGGUUAAUACCCUUAUCAAUUGACGUACCCGCAGAAGAGCACCG
rnacentral:rRNA from 1 species